AGAGUAUAGCUCAGUGGUAGAGCGCAUGCUUAGCAUGCACAAGGUCCUUGGUUCAAUCCCUAGUACCUCUG
rnacentral:tRNA from 1 species